UACAUGUGUAGGAUAGGUGGGAGGCUAUGAAGACGUGACGCCAGUUGCGUUGGAGCCGUCCUUGAAAUACCACCCUUGUAUGUUUGAUGUUCUAACUUGGCCCCAUUAUCUGGGGUGAGGACAGUGCCUGGUGGGUAGUUUGACUGGGGCGGUCUCCUCCCAAAGAGUAACGGAGGAGCACGAAGGUGGGCUAAUCACGGUUGGACAUCGUGA
rnacentral:rRNA from 1 species